GCUCGCAAGUUUCCCCUUUGAGCGGGGAGCGGUGCACCACCGCGCCGCUGGAAAUCGACAUCAGGCACUCGGCGGCGAAGUAGUCGCGGCAGGCGAACACAGACAUGGCUGGGAAUGGAAGGAGACUCCCCUCUGUGUGAGCAUGGGUCCUCAAGAAUCGGUGAAGACAUCCCCAGGAAAUGGUGUUUAAGAAGGAACUGCAGAUGCUGGAAAAUCAAAGGCUGACUUAGAGUCACCAUGACUGUAAAUCCUGCACACACCCUUUGGCUCAGAAAUGAGGGCUUUGAGUUCCUCUUUGAAUACGUGUCAGAAGAAAGGAAGACUCCAAUGGUGCCCUGGGGUGGUCAUGGAGCAAAGUGGAUGACACUCAGAAUCCACAUGACACCAACAGCAUUCAAUAUCACCCAUGAUAAUCAAUUACUUUGUGCAGAGCAGUAUGGUUAUGCCCACUCCACAUAUUGCAUGACGCCACAAUCCUUCUGAAAGCAGGAAUGUCUUGUAGUGGCUGGCACCUUAUUAUAAACAGAAUAUAGGCAUAACUGCUAAUAAUAAAAAUAUAUCUUGCUGCUUUAUUAAUUUGCUGUUUGUAUUUAAAAAAAAGACACAAGGUGCUGGAGUAACUCAGCAGGUCAGGCCCAUUAAGGUUUGUAGGUUAAUUUGAAUGCAUUAAAAAUUGUAAACUAAACUAAACUAAAGGCAGGGAACUACAGGCUAGUGAGUCCAACAUCAGUGGUGUGAAAGAUACUGGAGGGAAUACUGAGGAACAGGAUCUACCAGGGUUUGGAAAGGGAAGGACUGAUUAGUAAAAAUCCACGUUUUUUUUCUGAAAAGAUGAUGAAGAAGACCACUGAGGGCAUGUGGUAUGCAUUCAUCGGCCGGAACAUUAAGUAGAAGAGUCGGGAAGUUAUGAUGCAGCUUUAUAGAACUUAGGGUUAGGCAGC